GACGAACGCUGGCGGCGUGCUUAACACAUGCAAGUCGAACGGAAAGGCCCUGCUUUUGUGGGGUGCUCGAGUGGCGAAAGGGUGAGUAACACGUGAGUAACCUGCCCUUGACUUUGGGAUAACUUCAGGAAACUGGGGCUAAUACCGGAUAGGAGCUCCUGCUGCAUGGUGGGGGUUGGAAAGUUUCGGCGGUUGGGGAUGGACUCGCGGCUUAUCAGCUUGUUGGUGGGGUAGUGGCUUACCAAGGCUUUGACGGGUAGCCGGCCUGAGAGGGUGACCGGCCACAUUGGGACUGAGAUACGGCCCAGACUCCUACGGGAGGCAGCAGUGGGGAAUAUUGCACAAUGGGCGGAAGCCUGAUGCAGCAACGCCGCGUGCGGGAUGACGGCCUUCGGGUUGUAAACCGCUUUCGACUGUGACGAAGCGUGAGUGACGGUAAUGGGUAAAGAAGCACCGGCUAACUACGUG
rnacentral:rRNA from 1 species